AUUGAACGCUGGCGGAAUGCUUUACACAUGCAAGUCGAGCGGCAGCGCGGGGCAACCUGGCGGCGAGCGGCGAACGGGUGAGUAAUGCAUCGGAACGUACCCAGUCGUGGGGGAUAACUGUCCGAAAGGACAGCUAAUACCGCAUACGUCCUGAGGGAGAAAGCGGGGGAUCGCAAGACCUCGCGCGAUUGGAGCGGCCGAUGCCGGAUUAGCUAGUUGGUAGGGUAAAGGCCUACCAAGGCGACGAUCCGUAGCUGGUCUGAGAGGACGACCAGCCACACUGGAACUGAGACACGGUCCAGACUCCUACGGGAGGCAGCAGUGGGGAAUUUUGGACAAUGGGGGCAACCCUGAUCCAGCCAUUCCGCGUGAGUGAAGAAGGCCUCGGUUGUAAGAC
rnacentral:rRNA from 1 species